GCAUAUCAAUAAGCGGAGGAAAAGAAAAUAACAAUGAUUCCUCUAGUAACUGCGAGUGAAGAGGGAAAAGCUCAAAUUUUAAAUCUGUUAGGUUUACCUAACCGAGUUGUAAUUUGAAGAAGCGUUUUCUGCGAAUUUGGUUAGUCCAAAUCCUUUGGAAUAAGGUAUCAUGGAGGGUGAGAAUCCCGUUCGGUUAACCAAAGCGCUUUACGAUACGCUUUCAAAGAGUCAAGUUGUUUGGGAUUGCAGCUUAAAAUGGGAGGUAAAUUUCUCCUAAGGCUAAAUAUUGGCGAGAGACCGAUAGCGAACAAGUACCGUGAGGGAAAGAUGAAAAGAACUUUGAAAAGAGAGUUAAACAGUACGUGAAAUUGUUGAAAGGGAAACGAUUAAAGUCAGUCGUACCUACGAGUAAUCAACCUACUCGAGUGCGAUUUUGUGGGUAUGUUAGAGCUUAAAAACCUUCAUGCUUACAAAUUGGUGCUCUUUGGGCGUACUUUCUCGUAUGGUAGGUUAACAUCAAUUUCGAUCGUUAUAAAAUGACUGGAGGAAUGUAGCUUCGAUCUCGGUUGAAGUGUUAUAGCCUUUGGUAGAUGUAAUGAUUGGGAUUGAGGAUUGCAACGGAUACCCUCUGGGCUAUUCGUCUGAUCUCUGGAAGUUACCUUGGUGUCGAAAGCGUGCUUACGAUAUUAAGGUUGACGGCCAAUAGGUUAGAACGUGAUUAAAUUCGUUAAGGAUGUUGACGUAAUGGCUUUAAACGAC
rnacentral:rRNA from 1 species